rnacentral:rRNA from 1 species
CAGUAGCCGCGGGAAUACGUAGGGUGCGAGCGUUAAUCGGAAUCACUGGGCGUAAAGCGUGCGCAGGCGGUUAUAUAAGAUAGAUGUGAAAUCCCCGGGCUCAACCUGGGACCUGCAUUUGUGACUGUAUAGCUAGAGUACGGUAGAGGGGGAUGGAAUUCCGCGUGUAGCAGUGAAGUGCGUAGAUAUGCGGAGGAACACCGAUGGCGAAGGCAAUCCCCUGGACCUGUACUGACGCUCAUGCACGAAAGCGUGGGGAGCAAACAGGAUUAGAUACCCCUGUAGUCCCUGUCUCUUAUAC